AAGCCAAAACAGUUGGUAUAUAUAAAGGGUAUUCUGUCAUUUUCACUGAAAGUCCACAUAUUUCUCUCAACGUUUCUUUCUCAAAAGUAAGUGUUACCAACAGAAUUCUCCCGUAAAAAACAACACAACAUUAGAAGAAACUUCUUAGUCAGCAAAUAUGGCAUCAGAAACAACUGACAAAUUGUUCCAUUCAUUCAUAACGAAAGCAGCAACAGAGACUGCACGAGAGCAAUGCCCCGAUAAGACUUUGGACAAAAAAACAGUUGAUGAAAUCCGGAAUAAAGCCGAAUCAACAGUUAAAGAGCUAUCGCAAACCUUACAUAACAUAAGGAAGGAAGGUAAGAAGGGCGAACAGGCAGUUUCACAUUUGACACCAGAACGGAUAACAAAGAUGAAGAAAGCCCUUGAAAUGAAAACUUAUCAAAUAAACAUCAACGAAAAAGAGAAAAAAGCUCAAAUUAAGAGAAAUGGAAAAGAAAUGUAUCCUGCUAUUACCCUUGGUUCAUCAGUAAAUUUGAAGCAGGCAAGUGAUUUGCAAACAGCUAGCAUUGUUGUAGAAGCUAUCAUUCUCGUCCUUGAGAUAAUUGGAAUUGGAAUUCCUGAUGACGAAGCAGAAGUUAAGAAAGUUAUCAAUAUUGUCAUAGAAGAACUGGGAAAAGAUAAUACCCUGCUACAAGACGUUGAACAGAUACGUAAAGAUCAAGACGAUUUUCCAGCUAUGGCAAAAGAUAUUUUUAUGCUAGUAGUUGAUGCCUUUGAAGACGGUAUCUUCUGGAAGAUAACGAAAGCACUUCUUUCGGAUAUGCCCUGGUACGAUUGGAUCUUGACCUCUGCACAGAUUGCUGCUUUCAUUACGAUGUUGGUUGCUACCGGUGGACUUGCAGACAUCGCUUUGUUAGUUACGAAGUUAGCAGAUGCUGCAUUCUUUUUAGAAAAGCUUGUAAAUCUAGGAACCCUCAGCAGAAUGAAGAUGUCUCUUUAGGCAUCUUAAUUUGUCGAAUGUAUACCCUAUCUCACAAAAAUUGUAGAACAUUUGCGGAGAUUUUUCAUUUAUAAAUAAUAUGAAUAGCUUAGAUUUUAGUUAGAACUUUCAAAAUUAUUCAAUAAGAUACAAAUAAAUCAAACGAAAAUGGCCAUAGAAGUUGUGUACAAAAUUUGAAAAAGUUUGUAAACCGGAUCUGAAUGCAUGCAAUAUAUGUAAUAUGUGAUGAUGUUACAUGAAACAAUAAAUACACUAACAUUAAUGCUUGGUUUCUUCAACUGGUUUUUUUUCCUAACUAAAAUUUGUUUAAUCUAUUAAUCUAUAUACUAAUAUGUACACUUUGCAAUUGUAAUUUAAAUCAUGAAACAAAUUAAAAUAGUGCUGUGA